AAUGUAUUAAAAACAUUAAAAUAAGUAAAACAAAAAGUAAUAAAAACAUUUUAUACUUAUCAUCUUCUCCGAACCACCGGAACACCAUGGCAAGAAGAACCAAGCUUCGGCCUUGCUUCAAUUCAUGGAUGUUUGGAUUGAACGCGAGAUUUGAGUACAUUCAUGAUUUGGUGUAUGACGGGGGUUUGGAGUGGAGAUGGUACUAGAGGGAGAUAUCGGUAUUUUACCCGAGUAAAUCGGAGUUCAGAAUUUGUUGCGAACUCUCGCAUUUUACUUUCUGUUUGGCGUGAUUCGGGUGGAUCAGCUCUUACAAGCUUUUGUUCAGCUCUUUUGAGCUUCUGUUGGCAUGUUUGGGAGGACCAUCUCUUAUGAGCUUCUGUUGACGAUGUACUCUUACCUAUUAUCGGAAGUUCGAUCGGGUUGGAAGCUUAUCGAAGAUCUAUCACACUAUCCAUCGGUUCUAUUGGUACUUUCGGAUGUUUAGGUUUUGGUUAUAAUGCAUGUAUAGUUAUUCUGGUUAAUGUUGGCUAUUAGUAUUUUGUUGAGAUUAGCCACUUAUUUGGCUUGUGUUUUGGCACAUUUUGGUUUGUGCAUAUUUACCUUAUAUGGUUGAUGUGUGGUUUGGUUUAUGGUUGUAUAGUGAAAAGUAAAAUGUUAGCUAAA